GGUUACUGCUAUCGGUGUUCGCCUAAGCCAUGCGAGUCAUAUGUUCUUCGGAACAUGGCGUACUGCUCAGUAACACGUGGAUAACCUGCCCUUGGGUCCGGCAUAACCCCGGGAAACUGGGGAUAAUUCCGGAUAACGCACAUAUGCUGGAAUGCUUUAUGCGUCAAAUGGAUUCGUCCGCCCAAGGAUGGGUCUGCGGCCUAUCAGGUAGUAGUGGGUGUAAUGUACCUACUAGCCUACGACGGGUACGGGUUGUGAGAGCAAGAGCCCGGAGAUGGAUUCUGAGACAUGAAUCCAGGCCCUACGGGGCGCAGCAGGCGCGAAAACUUUACAAUGCGGGAAACCGUGAUAAGGGGACAUCGAGUGCCAGCAUCAUAUGCUGGCUGUCCGGGUGUGUAAAAUACACCUGUUAGCAAGGGCCGGGCAAGACCGGUGCCAGCCGCCGCGGUAACACCGGCGGCCCGAGUGGUGAUCGUGAUUAUUGGGUCUAAAGGGUCCGUAGCCGGUUUGGUCAGUCCUCCGGGAAAUCUGACGGCUUAACCGUUAGGCUUUCGGGGGAUACUGCCAGACUUGGAACCGGGAGAGGUAAGAGGUACUACAGGGGUAGGAGUGAAAUCUUGUAAUCCCUGUGGGACCACCUGUGGCGAAGGCGUCUUACCAGAACGGGUUCGACGGUGAGGGACGAAAGCUGGGGGCACGAACCGGAUUAGAUACCCGGGUAGUCCCAGCCAUAAACGAUGCUCGCUAGGUGUCAGGCAUGGCGCGACCGUGUCUGGUGCCGCAGGGAAGCCGUGAAGCGAGCCACCUGGGAAGUACGGCCGCAAGGCUGAAACUUAA
rnacentral:rRNA from 1 species